UACAGAGGGUGCGAGCGUUAAUCGGAAUUACUGGGCGUAAAGCGUGCGUAGACGGUUAUGUAAGUCGGAUGUGAAAGCCCCGGGCUCAACCUGGGAAUUGCAUUCGAGACUGCAUAGCUAGGAUGCGGAAGAGGGAAGCGGAAUUUCCGGUGUAGCGGUGAAAUGCGUAGAUAUCGGAAGGAACAUCAGUGGCGAAAGCGGCUUCCUGGUCCAGCAUCGACGUUCAGGCACGAAAGCGUGGGGAGCAAACAGG
rnacentral:rRNA from 1 species